GUAAAAUCAAAACAGAUCUUUCCCUGGGGAUUUAGGUCAGUGGCACCGCACAGCACCUGCUUCUCAAGUGCAAGGUCCUGAGUUCAAUCCCCGGUACCACCCCCCCAAAAAAUCCAGAUCCUAAAAGUCCUGAGACAGAGAUGGGUUGUGAAGAUCUGUGUUCUUAUAUCUUCAUUUGCAUUGGACACAAAGAAUCACAAUGAUCGAGGAGAAAAAGCUCACCUGUGGUUGAAUGAGCCUGAACUAUAGAUCUCCCUUCCUCAAGGUUCCAAGAAGGAAGUUACUUUGUUGCAUCUAUUCUGGAGGCCUCAGGAACCAUGUUUCAUCUCUCGAAGGCCAACAUCCGGUUACUUUGGACAAGGAAUGGCCUGUUGGAUCCUGACAGUUCCAUCACUGC
rnacentral:lncRNA from 1 species